GAUGAAGAACGCAGCGAAAUGCGAUAAGUAAUGUGAAUUGCAGAAUUCAGUGAAUCAUCGAAUCUUUGAACGCACCUUGCGCCCUUUGGCAAUUCCGAAGGGCAUGCCUGUUUGAGUAUCAUGAACACCUCAACUCUUUAUGGUUUUCCAUGAUGAGCUUGGACUCUGGGGGUUUUGCUGGCUCACAGUCGGCUCCUCUAAAAUGAAUCAGCUUACCAGUGUUUGGUGGGUAUCAUGGGUGUGAUAACUAUCUACGCUUGUGGUUUUUCCACCAGGUAACCUUCAGCAGUGGAGGUUCGCUGGAGCUCAUAGAUGUCUCUCCUCAGUGAGGACAGCCCUUUGAAUGUUUGAUCUCAAAUCAGGUAGGACUACCCGCUGAACUUAAGCAUAUCAAUAAGCGGAGGA
rnacentral:misc_RNA from 1 species